CCUACGGGAGGCAGCAGUGGGGAAUAUUGCACAAUGGGCGAAAGCCUGAUGCAGCGACGCCGCGUGAGCGAAGAAGGCCUUCGGGUCGUAAAGCUCUGUCCUAUGGGACGAUAAUGACGGUACCAUAGGAGGAAGCCCCGGCUAACUACGUGCCAGCAGCCGCGGUAAUACGUAGGGGGCGAGCGUUGUCCGGAAUCACUGGGCGUAAAGGGUACGUAGGCGGCUAGGUAAGUCAGAUGUGAAAGGCAUGGGCUUAACCCAUGUAAGCAUUUGAAACUGCUUAGCUUGAGUCGAGGAGAGGAAGGCGGAAUUCCUGGUGUAGCGGUGAAAUGCGUAGAUAUCAGGAGGAACACCAGUGGCGAAGGCGGCCUUCUGGCCUUGGACUGACGCUGAGGUACGAAAGCGUGGGGAGCAAACAGGAUUAGAUACCCUGGUAGUCCACGCCGUAAACGAUGAGUGCUAGGUGUCGGGGAUUUAUCUUCGGUGCCGGAGUUAACACAUUAAGCACUCCGCCUGGGGAGUACGUUCGCAAGAAUGAAACUCAAAGGAAUUGACGGGGACCCGCACAAGCAGCGGAGCAUGUGGUUUAAUUCGAAGCAACACGAAGAACCUUACCAGGGCUUGACAUCCCUCUGACCGCUCUAGAGAUAGGGCUUUCCCUUCGGGGACAGAGGAGACAGGUGGUGCAUGGUUGUCGUCAGCUCGUGUCGUGAGAUGUUGGGUUAAGUCCCGCAACGAGCGCAACCCUUGCCUUUAGUUGCUAACAGGUAAAGCUGAGCACUCUAGAGGGACUGCCGGCAAAAAGUCGGAGGAAGGUGGGGAUGACGUCAAAUCAUCAUGCCCUUUAUGUCCUGGGCUACACACGUGCUACAAUGGUCGGUACAGCGGGCAGCCACCCAGCGAUGGGGAGCGAAUC
rnacentral:rRNA from 1 species